rnacentral:rRNA from 1 species
AUGAACGCUGGCGGCGUGCCUAAUCCAUGCAAGUCAAGCGAACAGACGAGGAGCUUGCUCCUCUGACGUUAGCGGCGGACGGGUGAGUAACACGUGGAUAACCUACCUAUAAGACUGGGAUAACUUCGGGAAACCGGAGCUAAUACCGGAUAAUAUAUUGAACCGCAUGGUUCAAUAGUGAAAGACGGUUUUGCUGUCACUUAUAGAUGGAUCCGCGCCGCAUUAGCUAGUUGGUAAGGUAACGGCUUACCAAGGCAACGAUGCGUAGCCGACCUGAGAGGGUGAUCGGCCACACUGGAACUGAGACACGGUCCAGACUCCUACGGGAGGCAGCAGUAGGGAAUCUUCCGCAAUGGGCGAAAGCCUGACGGAGCAACGCCGCGUGAGUGAUGAAGGUCUUCGGAUCGUAAAACUCUGUUAUUAGGGAAGAACAAAUGUGUAAGUAACUAUGCACGUCUUGACGGUACCUAAUCAGAAAGCCACGGCUAACUACGUG